rnacentral:rRNA from 1 species
AUUGGGUCUACCCGAAGGCGGUGCGCCAACCUGCAAAGGGGGCGGCCGACCACGUAGGCUCAGUGACUGGGGUGAAGUCGUAACAAGGUAGCCGUAGGUGAACCUGCAGAAGGAUCA